UACGUAGGGUGCAAGCGUUGUCCGGAAUUAUUGGGCGUAAAGAGCUCGUAGGCGGUUUGUCGCGUCUGCUGUGAAAUCCCAGGGCUUAACCCUGGGCCUGCAGUGGGUACGGGCAAACUAGAGUGUUGCAGGGGAGACUGGAAUUCCUGGUGUAGCGGUGAAAUGCGCAGAUAUCAGGAGGAACACCGGUGGCGAAGGCGGGUCUCUGGGCCGAUACUGACGCUGAGGAGCGAAAGCGUGGGGAGCGAACAGG
rnacentral:rRNA from 1 species